AUUGAACGCUGGCGGUAUGCUUAACACAUGCAAGUCGAACGGAAACGAUGGAAGCUUGCUUCCAGGCGUCGAGUGGCGGACGGGUGAGUAAUACUUAGGAAUCUACCCAGUAGCGGGGGACAACACGGGGAAACUCGUGCUAAUACCGCAUACGCCCUACGGGGGAAAGUGGAGGGUCUUCGGACUUCACACUAUUGGAUGAGCCUAAGUCGGAUUAGUUUGUUGGUGGGGUAAUGGCCUACCAAGACGGCGAUCCGUAGCUGGUCUGAGAGGACGAUCAGCCACACUGGGACUGAGACACGGCCCAG
rnacentral:rRNA from 1 species